UACGGAGGGUGCAAGCGUUAUCCGGAUUCACUGGGUUUAAAGGGUGCGUAGGUGGAUUAGUAAGUCAGUGGUGAAAUCUCCGGGCUUAACCCGGAAACUGCCAUUGAUACUAUUAGUCUUGAAUACCGUGGAGGUCAGCGGAAUAUGUCAUGUAGCGGUGAAAUGCUUAGAUAUGACAUAGAACACCAAUUGCGAAGGCAGCUGGCUACACGAGCAUUGACACUCAGGCGCGAAAGCGUGGGGAUCAAACAGG
rnacentral:rRNA from 1 species